rnacentral:rRNA from 1 species
UGAUGUGAAAGCCCCCGGCUCAACCGGGGAGGGUCAUUGGAAACUGGGAGACUUGAGUGCAGAAGAGGAGAGUGGAAUUCCAUGUGUAGCGGUGAAAUGCUAAGAUAUAUGGAGGAACACCAGUGGCGAAGGCGGCUCUCUGGUCUGUAACUGACGCUGAGGCUCGAAAGCGUGGGGAGCGAACAGGAUUAGAUACCCUGGUAGUCCACGCCGUAAACGAUGAGUGCUAAGUGUUGGAGGGUUUCCGCCCUUCAGUGCUGCAGCAAACGCAUUAAGCACUCCGCCUGGGGAGUACGACCGCAAGGUUGAAACUCAAAGGAAUUGACGGGGGCCCGCACAAGCGGUGGAGCAUGUGGUUUAAUUCGAAGCAACGCGAAGAACCUUACCAGGUCUUGACAUCCUUUGACCACUCUAGAGAUAGAGCUUCCCCUUCGGGGGCAAAGUGACAGGUGGUGCAUGGUUGUCGUCAGCUCGUGUCGUGAGAUGUUGGGUUAAGUCCCGCAACGAGCGCAACCCUUAUUGUUAGUUGCCAUCAUUUAGUUGGGCACUCUAGCGAGACUGCCGGUGACAAACCGGAGGAAGGUGGGGAUGACGUCAAAUCAUCAUGCCCCUUAUGACCUGGGCUACACACGUGCUACAAUGGGAAGUACAACGAGUUGCGAAGUCGCGAGGCUAAGCUAAUCUCUUAAAGCUUCUCUCAGUUCGGAUUGUAGGCUGCAACUCGCCUACAUGAAGCCGGAAUCGCUAGUAAUCGCGGAUCACACGCCGCGGGUGAAAUACCUUUCCCGGGGCCUUGUACACACCGGCCCGUCACA